rnacentral:sRNA from 1 species
GCCAAUACGGGCAUCUUAAAGCCGAUAUUUAUCCUGUAAAUCCUCCAAAAAGGAAACAUGUACCUAAAUUAGA